CGCACGGGUGAGUAACACGUGACUAACCUACCCCUUGAGUGGGGGAUAACCUCGGGAAACCGUGGCUAAUACCGCAUAAUAUCGAGAGAUCAAAGGAGCAAUUCGCUUAAGGAGGGGGUCGCGGCUGAUUAGCUAGUUGGUGAGGUAAUGGCUCACCAAGGCGAUGAUCAGUAUCCGGCCUGAGAGGGCGCACGGACACACUGGAACUGAAACACGGUCCAG
rnacentral:rRNA from 1 species